GUGGGGAAUCUUGCGCAAUGGGCGAAAGCCUGACGCAGCCAUGCCGCGUGAAUGAUGAAGGUCUUAGGAUUGUAAAAUUCUUUCACCGGGGACGGUAAUGACGGUACCCGGAGAAGAAGCUCCGGCUAACUUCGUGCCAGCAGCCGCGGUAAUACGAAGGGGGCUAGCGUUGCUCGGAAUUACUGGGCGUAAAGGGCGCGUAGGCGGACAGCUUAGUCAGAGGUGAAAGCCCAGGGCUCAACCUUGGAAUUGCCUUUGAUACUGGCUGUCUUGAGUUUGGGAGAGGUGAGUGGAACUCCGAGUGUAGAGGUGAAAUUCGUAGAUAUUCGGAAGAACACCAGUGGCGAAGGCGACUCACUGGCCCAAUACUGACGCUGAGGCGCGAAAGCGUGGGGAGCAAACAGGAUUAGAAACCCUUGUAGUCC
rnacentral:rRNA from 1 species